GAAGGACUGAAGGCCUACAAACAAACAAGUUGCUAUAUAAACUCUAUAAGUCCAUUUACAAACAAAACAAAACGAAACCUUGCAAGCAAGCAGGCUUUUUCUUUGUUUCCUUUCUUUUUACUCUCUCUCUCUCACUCACCGAGUAUUUCUGUUCUUUCUUGGUUCAGUCCUAGACCUAUCUUUGUGUUCUUCAUUCUGUUAUGUUUGCUUGAUCUCCCAUGUAAACAUUACCCAACUCCGAGAAAAGCUCUCCUGAGUAGACUAAAAGCAGCAAUGACAAGCAACACCACUACCACCUUCUUUGAUGCUAAGAUCCUGAGAUUCACCCUGAUGCCAUGCUCUCUCAUGAACCGCACACCAGCUCCACGUAACAUAAGAAGCCAGGAAAUGAAAGAGCACAACACAACUUUGAUCAUUUCCAUGGGUCCACAGACACUCCUUGCAUCACUGGACACAUCAACAUAUGACCAAACAGGACUCUCUUGGCUGCUCUCGACUUGGUUCAACCCAAGACUCUCGUUCAACCAGCCUGAUAGCUUAACAAGCACCUUUGCCAGCCACCCAAUUUCAUCAUCUGAGAUGGGCCGCUUCAUCCAAUCACCCUUGUAUUUAAUAUCGAUCAUUGCUCUAUUUGUAAAACUCCUGGGUUUAAAGAUUUCAUCCCGCAGGUACUCAAAUUGUACAGUCUCUGGAGUAGUCAUGGACUUCAUAAUAGGGCCACCAAACAACUGGCACAGCUCCGAUUUCAUUCUAUCCAAACGCUGGAGGUUUGGAGAAAGAUUUUCUCCGCCAAUUGAUUGCAGUUCAGAUUCUGCUCGCAAUACAAACAGCUGAAGCAACUUUUGUCCACCAUCUUCACCAUCACUGAAGAGUCGUAAAUCUUUGUUCCAGUUCUCGUGCAAAAAAGAACCAUCAGCAUCAGUCUCAGAUAGGCCAUCCUCCCAGUCCUGUAAUUGCUCACGAAUAGCAGGAACAUAUCUAUGCAAAGCAUUGAGCAUUGAUUUAGAUGAUCCAGC
rnacentral:misc_RNA from 1 species